AGCGGCGAACGGGUGAGGAAUACAUGGGUAACCUACCCUCGAGUGGGGAAUAACUAACCGAAAGGUUAGCUAAUACCGCAUACGGCUCCUGGUCUGCGGAUCGGGAGAGAAAGCGAUACCGUGGGUAUCGCGCUCUUGGAUGGGCUCAUGUCCUAUCAGCUUGUUGGUGAGGUAACGGCUCACCAAGGCUUCGACGGGUAGCUGGUCUGAGAGGACGAUCAGCCACACUGGCACUGCGACACGGGCCAGACUCCUACGGGAGGCAGCAGUAAGGAAUAUUGCGCAAUGGGCGACAGCCUGACGCAGCGACGCCGCGUGGGGGAUGAAGGUCUUCGGAUUGUAAACCCCUUUCGGCAGGGAAGAUGGAACGGGUAACCGUUCGGACGGUACCUGCAGAAGCAGCCACGGCUAACUUCGUGCCAGCAGCCGCGGUAAUACGAAGGUGGCAAGCGUUGUUCGGAUUUACUGGGCGUACAGGGAGCGUAGGCGGUUGGGUAAGCCCUCCGUGAAAUCUCCGGGCCUAACCCGGAAAGUGCGGAGGGGACUGCUCGGCUAGAGGAUGGGAGAGGAGCGCAGAAUUCCCGGUGUAGCGGUGAAAUGCGUAGAGAUCGGGAGGAAGGCCGGUGGCGAAGGCGGCGCUCUGGAACAUUUCUGACGCUGAGGCUCGAAAGCGUGGGGAGCAAACAGGAUUAGAUACCCUGGUAGUCCACGCCUUAAACGAUGGAUACUAAG
rnacentral:rRNA from 1 species